rnacentral:rRNA from 1 species
AGUGAACGCUGGCGGUAGGCCUAACACAUGCAAGUCGAACGGCAGCACAGUAAGAGCUUGCUCUUACGGGUGGCGAGUGGCGGACGGGUGAGGAAUACAUCGGAAUCUACUUUUUCGUGGGGGAUAACGUAGGGAAACUUACUCUCAUACCGCAUACGACCUACGGUUGAAAGCAGGGGAUCUUCGGACCUUGCGCGAUUGAAUGAGCCGCUGUCGGAUUAGCUAGUUGGCGGGGUAAAGGCCCACCAAGGCGACGAUCCGUAGCUGGUCUGAGAGGAUGGUCGGCGACACUGGAACUGAGACACGGUCAAGAGUCCUACGGGAGGCAGCAGUGGGGAAUAUUGGACAAUGGGGGCAAGCCUGAUACAGCCAGACCGAGUGGGUGAAGAAGGCCUUCGGGUUGUAAAGACCUUUUGUUGGGAAAGAAAAGCAGCAGGUUAAGACCCAGCUGUUCUGACGGUACCGAAAGAAUAAGCACCGGCUAACUUCGUG